CGGGGCCUCACUGAGUGAUCCUGAAUAGACCUCUACUGCCCUUCUGUUCUACUCGCAAUUCUCAAUUCCUUCUUUCUAAGCUUUGUUCUCAGGGCAGCUGCAGACAGAAAUGCUGUAACUUGGCAUAUUGCUGCAUGGUGUUGUGGGUCUGUAGUCAGGUGUGUGCGUGUGUGUGUGUGUGUGUGCAGGUAUGUGUGUGUGUGUGAGAGAGAGAGAGAGAGAGAGGGAGAGAGAGAGAGGAUUGGAGCGAGUGUCAGGUGAGGGCGGGGGGAAGAGAGCCAUGGGUGUUGGCACUCAGGAGUCAGGUCUUAGGUUACAGUAGCGCUAGAGGCGAAGGGCGGGUGGCUUCGGUUCACUCCUGUGCCUGCAGUCCGCUCAGUGUCCCCUGGGGCGGCCGGUCGGCGGCGGCGGCGGGCCUGCUAGCAUGGGACAGGCUAACACCCUCCAAGAAACUGCUCGACCGGGCAGAGCUGCAACCGUUAAAGAUGUUGGUACUGAGAGCGUCAGGAGCGCUAGCAUAGGGAACUCUUGGGCCAGCAAGGACAGAGGCGCUGGCCCCGGGAGCGUGGCCUCUGAUAUGGACAGGAAUGCAGCCGGAGGACUUGCUGCCGGCGAUGGGGACGGCAGGUCUAACUCGGAAUGUGUCACUGCUAGCGGCGAUAAGCGCGCUAGCGUGGGGCCGCUUGCUACUACAGAGGCUGCUGGAAGGUACAGCUACGCAAGCGUGUGGGAGGAGGACUCUGGGGCGGGGGGCAUGGCUGGAGAGCCUGAAGAGCAGGUCGAGAGCAGCGAUGUCGGAAUCGGCUCUCGGCGCAAUACGAUGCGGAGUGACGCUGGCAGUUCUGAGGAUGGCACACCAUCUGUGAAGCAGAAGGGCAAGUUUUCCAUUGGCAAGAUCUUUAAGCCCUGGAAGUGGAAGAAGAAGAAGACUAGCGAGAAGUUCAAAGAAACCUCAGAAGUUCUGGAGAGGCAGUUGUCAGUAAGAAUGACAAGGCAGGAACUGAUUGACAGAAAGCUGCUGAAAGAGGUCCCAGAGAAUGAGAGCAGCACGGAAAAAGGCCCCAAGAACGUCCAUGUGAAGAACGGUCACACCCCGUCUAGGGAUAGUGUACAAGGGCCAGAACGGAAACGACUACCCUCUGAGACAAAUGUUAAGGUCAAGCCCAACUGGUUGCCUCGGGGGGAAGACCAAAAAGGGCACAUCUCAUCUGACAGAGACCGGCAGUAUAUCCAGCCGGAUGAGAAAGAUCCCAGGAAGAGGAAGGAGGAAAGAGAAUCAAGAGAUAUCAGGGACAGGAAAGAGGACAGAGAAUCAAAGGAUCCCAGAGAAAAGCGAGAGGACAGAGAAUCAAGAGAUCCCAGAGACAAGCGAGAGGACAGAGAAUCAAGAGAUCCCAGAGAGAAGCGAGAGGACAGAGAAUCAAGAGAUCCCAGAGAGAAGCGAGAGGACAGAGAAUCAAGAGAUCCCAAAGAGAAGCGAGAGGACAGAGAAUCAAGAGAUCCCAGAGAGAAGCGAGAGGACAGAGAAUCAAGAGAUCCCAGAGAGAAGCGAGAGGACAGAGAAUCAAGAGAUCCCAGAGAGAAGCGAGAGGACAGAGAAUCAAGAGAUCCCAGAGAGAAGCGAGAGGACAGAGAAUCAAGAGAUCCCAGAGAGAAGCGAGAGGACAGAGAAUCAAGAGAUCCCAGAGAGAAGCGAGAGGACAGAGAAUCAAGAGAUACCAGAGAGAAGCGAGAGGAGAGAGAAUCAAGAGAUCCCAGAGAGAAGCGAGAGGACAGAGAAUCAAGAGAUCCCAGAGAGAAGCGAGAGGACAGAGAAUCAAGAGAUCAGAGGGAUAGGAAAGAAGAGAGGGAAUCAAAGGAUAGAAGAGAAGACAGGGAAUCAAGGCAUUCCAGGGACAGGAAUGAGGAUGAAGAAGUAAGGAAAGACACAAAAGACAAACGAGAAGUGAGAGAUCCCAGAGACAAGAAGGAGGAACUGAGAGAUUCAAGAAAACCUAAGGAUAAAAGAGAGGAGAAAGAACAAAGGGACCAGAGAGAAGACAGGGAGCAAAGAGGGGAGCAAGAACAGCGAGAGCAAAAAGACGGAAGAUCCGGCAUUGGCCCUGCAGAACGGGAAAAGCAGCAUACAGAUGUGAAGCCACGUACAGGACGGCCUCAAUCUGAAAUGGAGAGCAGGUUCAACCUGCCAAGGGUUGUGCUGGAAGAGGCACCACGUGCACGUUCUCAAUCAGAGGCAGACACUUUUAUCAAGGGCUCUUCUGAGUUCAAUGCCAGCCGCCAAAUCCUGGAUGCCAAGUUGCCUCGGGAAACACCAAAAGAGCCUUUGCCCAGACAGGCCCUCAUGCCUCCCAAAAGACUGAUGAAUCCUUCCCCCCUACAAUCAAGUGACCCACCUGCACAGUCCCCAGGGGGCAGCAUCAGCCCCACCUCCACUGUGGCCCCCAUCCUGCCCUUGAGUUCUACUGGCACUAAGCCUGCCCUACUGCCCAACCCUCCCCUCUGCUCUGAUACGACUCCUUCCUGCUCUGAAAACCUCCCGUCCCCAACUGGGGACACCUCCCACAUGCUGCCUCCCACACGAGCACUUGAUACAGCUACUCCCUCCUUGCCUACUUCGGCACCUCUGCCAGCCAAGCAACCACCCAUCCCCCCACCUAAGCCCUCCAACCGGAACAGCAUGCCCAUCUUAUUAGAGGCCCCACCGGACAGCGCUAUCCUGCAUCCGUCUGCCAAGGCCCCGGCACCCACGCCCCCCAAGAGGACAACUCCAGUCCGUGGCUCCCUCGUGGUCCAGCCUGCACCUGCUGUGUCGGCAGAGGAUGCAAAGGGAGAUGCUCAGUCCCAGAAUCCUGCUGACAUCUCCUCUGUGCUGCCCACCCAUAUACCUCCAUCUCCUCCCCGGCCUCGUCACAGUGCAGCUCCUGUCUCAAGCCCUACUUCAAAAACUGGCCCUGCCCUAAUUCCUGCCUCCGCCCCAGACCAAUCAUCUGGCUCUGCUCCUGACCCUAUUCCCCCCACUGGUCAGCCUGCUGAUCCUGUCCCACUGCCUGUCCCUCAACCUGCCCAUAGUGAAGCCCCUCUGCUUAAAACUGGCACUGGACGAGUGCCUGUCCCAAAGCCUGUCCCAGUGCCUGUUCCAGUCCCACGUCUCCUGCCCAACCCCAGCCCUGUCUAUGUUACUGCCCCCAGUACUGACUCUGCCAGUAUCUCUCUGUCCACCCCUAGUCCCUUUACCCCAGAGGACCCACCCAGUCCCACAACUGAACCGCCCAGCCAGCCGCCUCUGCACAUUCGUAUUCAGCAAGCGCUGAUCAAUCCUGGCCCAACAGAGCCGAAUGCCGGCAAGCCCGGAAGGGCCCACUCACUGCUCUUUGACGUGACUCCAGACAUUCCGCCGGGCCCUGGGGGUCGUGUGUCCUUUCUGCCCAUCACCUUGGAGCCCAUCCGCCUGCCUGAAGAUGAUGACUUUGAUGAGAGAGAGCAGAUGUCAGAGUGGGGGCUGGGGCCGCGGAGUCGCCAGGGGCUGGUGGUGGACCCUGGUGUGGCCGCUAUCCCAGAAGACUCCGACAGCGAAGAUGAGGGACCAGUGUGCUACAGGAGUGAGGAGGAAGAUGAUGAGGAAGAUGAUGAGGAAGAUGAUACCACAUCAAGUGCCUUAGCCAGCAAGGUGAAGCGCAAAGACACCAUGGCUCUCAAGCUGGGUGGGAGGUCGGCUGGCAUGGAGGCGGGGCCUAUGAUGGGGCGGGGCUCCGAAGAGGUAUCCUGGAGCAGCAAGGAGCAGUGGGAGACUCUGCGCAUGCAGAUUGGCAGUGCGCUCACACGGAGGCUGAGCCAGAGACCCACUGCACAGGAGCUGGAGCAGAGGAACAUCCUGCAGACUAAAAAUGAGGAAACUCGGCGAGCAGAGAGAAGCGAGAUCAAACGGAGACUGACAGGGAAGCUCAUCCAUAGGCCCACAGUAGCAGAGCUGCAGGCCAGGAAGAUUCUGCGCUUCCAUGAGUACGUUGAGUGCACCAGUGCCCACGACUAUGACCGGCGUGCGGACAAGCCCUGGACGAGGCUCACUCCUGCUGACAAGGCUGCCAUUCGGAAGGAGCUCAAUGAUUUCAAGAGCCUUGAGAUGGAUGUCCAUGAGGACAGCAGGAAAUAUACAAGAUUUCAUCGUCCAUAGAGCUUCUUCCUACUAGAAUGUGUGAAGAAACCAAAUGGACCAAAUUUUUAAGAUGUGGAGCACUGAAACUCAGGAGUCCCUCAAUGAGUUACUUUCAUAAAUGGUAGCAGUGAUGUCACUGAUGAUGUCACCAGCCACCAUGUCAGUGGUGGAAGUGGAAGGUCAGAGCACAGCUUGGUGGUGGGUGGUGCCUGGGCGUUGUGGGUGAGCCAUGUGCCAAUGCCAGCUGGGACAGCAGUGAUUGGCUGAAGAGUGAGGAGCAACUCCCUACCCCAGGAGAAGGUGCAGCUGGAUGUGUUUCAUUCUCUUCUCUUUUUCAUCUGUCCUGGAACAUUUAACAGCACCACCAACCAAAACUUUACUCAGAAUAAUAAAAGUAGUAUCCUUCUGUUCCUGUGCAGUACCGCCAUAACAGACGAGGACAGCUUAUCUGCACUCCAAGCUUUUACAUGCGGUCAGCAUUUCUUCCUCUUACGGGAUCCUCGGUGCAGACCUGUCCUCACCUUCCAGGGAAAAGGCUCCCUUGGCUGGUGCCCUACAUCACGGGUGCAGACCCAUCCUCACCUUCCAGGGAAAAGGCUCCCUUGGCUGGUGCCCUACAUCACGGGUGCAGACCCAUCCUCACCUUCCAGGGAAAAGGCUCCUGAAAUAGAUUUUUUGCUAAUUUCCUGGAAGAACAAACGGAACAAACUUCGCAAGAUGCAUCACGAAAUUUGAGAAAAAUGCCACUGCAAGUGUUUCUGGCCACGACAAUCGCAAAAAUGUUCCUUGGAAUCCUGUAGGGACAGACUAUUACUCGCCUCACUCUGCAGGAUCCCUGGCAGCUGGUAUCCGUUUCAGCAACAAUAACAAAACAACAUGUCUUUCAAUGACUCUCAUAUUUCGUUUUCAUUAGCAAGAAUGUACUUUCAAUUCAGUUCAAUUCAAUUUAUUUUUAUAUAGCGCCUUUCACAACAGAGUCAUCCUGAGGCGCUUUACAUGGAUGUGUUGUGAUACUUUCUUAAAUCAUGUUUAAUGUAAUACAGGGAAAAAGGAAGGAAAGAAAUUAAAUAAGGAAAGCCAGAUGGCAAUAGAGGAGAGGAACCAGAAACUCUGGGGGUCCAAGGUCAACUGGUCCCAUUCUCGAUGUCACCACUCUGUGGGACUGAACCAGGACUCCAGCUCAGAUGGUGCCCAUCCCGGGCGCCAUCCAGACACAUUGGAAAGAAGAAAGCAUGGAUGGUCAGAACCUUCGUUCACACAUAAAUGGACAAGCAUAGUAGAUAAAAAUGGCAUGUACAGCAGCACCAAUAGCCAUAGUUACAGUCUGUAAGCUAAACUGAAGUAAUAGGUCUUCAGUUGAGAUUUAAAGACUGAGACUGAAUCAACAUCCCGAACAUAGGCUGGUAAACCAUUCUGCAAUACAGAGGCCUGUAGCAGAAUGCUUUACCUCCCACUGUCACUUUAUUCAUAAUUGGAAUGACAAGGAAACCUGCAUUCUGUGACCUGAGUGAAUGCUUGUAAACUUGAAGUAAUUCUGUAACAUAGGCAGGAGCUAGACCUUUAAGUGCCUUGUAUGUAAAUAGGAUAACUUUGAACUCAGCUCUAAACCUAACAGGAAGUCAAUGCAGGGAACUAAGAGUGUGGAGAUUAUAAAAUUCAUAUCUGCAGACUUACUUCCAAACAGCAGAACCUCGGUUUUCUGAGCGUUUAAUGAUAAAAAGUUUUCAGCCAUCCAGGUCUUGACUUCGUUAAACCAAUUAGCUAAAGUGACAAUAGAUGCAGUGUCAUUAAGGGUAACCGAAAUGUAUAUUUGGGUGUCGCUGGCAUAGGAGUGAUAGCUAACUUUAUCUUUUUUCAUUAUGUUUCCUAAUGGCAGCAUGUACAGAAAAAACAAUAGAGGAUCAAGCACUGGUCCCUGUGGUACUCCGUAUAUGACUGGUGACGAUGGAGUAUCUGACAGCUGACCAUACUGACAACGAUUAGUCAAAUAUGAUUUGAACCACUUUAACACCGUUCCACCCAACCCAACCGCAAUUCUAAGUCUUUGUAAUAGGAUAGAAUAGUCAACUGUGGCAAAAGCUGCACUAAGGUCCAGAAGAAUUAGGAGUCAGCAUCAGUUGUCAUUAUGUCAUUUACGACUUUACUCAAGGCAGUUUCAAUGCUGUGUCUCGGGCGGAAGCCCGACUGGAAACAAUCCAGUAUGUUGUGUCUCUCCAAGUAUGACUGAAGUUGAGCAGCAACAAUCUUCUCCAGAACUUCUGACAAAAACUGUAUGUUAGAAAUAGGUCUGUAAUUGCUGAGCUCAUGUGGAUCCAAUCUUGGCUUCUUCAGUAGUGGCCUGAUUACUGCAACUUUAAGUUGGUGAGGGACAUCACCUGAUGACAGGGACGUAUUCAUUAUGGCAGUUAUAGGUCUUACCAGAACACCCAGGGAUUCUUUAAGAGGCUUAGCGAGGAUUGGAUUCAGUGGACAAAUGGUUGAUUUGAUCUUAGUUAUUAUAGUUUUUCCCUAUUGUUCAUUCAUUGACAAAAACAUUAAGGGUGUGUUCACGUUCCAUUUGCAUCUAACUUAAUUGUGAGCUAUUUUGAAGUCUAAUGUUUGUAAUUUUAUUAUUAAAGAAGUUCAUAAAAUGUUCACUUCUGAAAUUACUCAGUAGCAGAGGUUCUGCCUUAUUUGUUAGAUGAGCUAUUGUCAUAAAUAUGUAGCGAGAGUUAUUUCUAUUGCGAUCAAUUAGGUUAGAAUAAUAGGCUGAAUGAGCCCUCUAAAGGACUUGCUUGUAUUGUUGCAGGCUGGCAGACCAUGCCGACUUGAACAGUUCUUCACCUGUGGAUUUCCAUUUGUGCUCCAAUCUGUGGCUCUCCUACUCACAUGAGUGUGUGUGAUCAUUAAACCAUGGGGAAUGUCUGGUGGUUUUUACCACCUUAUUUUUCAAAGGAGCUGUUUCAUCUAAAAUCUAACCAACCACUGUAUUGAAGUCAUGGGUGACUUCACUGCCAUCUGUACUAGUUCACAUUACACACUGCAUUAAUAAAUCGUAGGGAAUUUUGAUCAUGUAGGUGACGUAUCCUGAUAAUCUUUUCUGCGAUAGUCAAAGAGGGUGGCUCAAUCACGAAGGUGAUUAGAAAAUGGUCGGAGAAGGAGAAACGGAUACAUGAUGAGCAUGAACUCUGUGAGUAAUAAUCAAGUCUAGUGUAUGACUGUGAACAUGCGUUUGUCCUGUUGCGUGUUGGUCACAUUCAAUAGAGUCCAAGAGGGACAGGAAUCUUUUGCUGAAGGCAUCAAUCUCUAUGUCCACAUGUAUAUUGAAGUCUCCAAGUAUUAUAAUAUUCUCCAUUAUAUUUUAUUUUUAUUUUGUAUUUUUUUUUUUCAUUUCCAUCUGAAAUAUUUUUCUCCAUUGUUUUGUUGUCCUUGUCAAGGGUAUUUUGCCCAAAGUCUGUUUCAUUCCCAUCAGGUCUCGAUCAUUACAUUUUAUAGUGGCAAAUUAGGGUCAAAACGCUACACAUUCUUAAAACACCUUAACCAAACGACAACACGUGAUCUACACUAACAAAGGUACAUUCAGAUAACACUUUAGUGAGAAUGGUUUGUACCCAUGCUUCAUUUCCAAAUGCUGCAAAUUGAGAAAUGCAAUUUGUGACACAUAGUUACACUGUAUGGACAGAAGUAUUGGGACACCAGGCCAUUACACCCACAGACACUUUUAUGACAUCACAUUCUAAAUCCACCCAUCGAUCCAUCUUCUGUAACCACUUGCCCUGUUUAGGGUUGCGGGGCCUCAGGAGCCUGUCCCAGGAUGGGACACCAACUCACACAUGCACACCUAUGGACAAACUGGUAACGCCAGUCAGCUUCAGGAUGUUUUUGGACUGUGGGGGAAAAACCAGAGGAAUCCAUGGAGCUGGUCGCCCUUCCACAGCCGUCACGGCUGCCAUUCUUCUGGGAAGGAUUUCCACACGAUUUUGGAGUGUGUUUGUGGUCAUUUUUGCCCAUUCAUCCAGAAGAGCAUUUGUGAGGUCAGACACUGAUGUUGGUCUGGCUCACGAUCUCUGUUAUAGUUCAUCCCAAAGAUGUCGGAUGGGGUUGAUGGCAGGGCUCUGUGUGGGCCAGUCAAGUUCUUCCACACCAAACUCACCAAACCUUGUCUUUACGAAACUUGCUUUGUGUAUUGGGGCACAGUCAUGCUGGAACAGAAAAGGGUCUUCCUCAAACUGAUACCAUAACAUUGGAAGCAUAGAAUUGUCCAAAAUACCUAGGUAUGCUAAAGCUUUAAGAGUUCCCUUCACUGGAACUAAGUGUCCCAGCCCAAUCCCUGAAAAACAACCCCACACCAUUAUCCCUCCUCCACCAAACUUUACAUUUGUCACCAUGUAGUCAGACAGGUAUGAUUCUUCUAGCAUCCGCCAAACCCACACUCGUCAAUCAUGGAAGUGUGAUUUGUCAUACCACAGAACAUAUUUCCACUGCUCCAGUGUCCAGUGGCGGCGUGCUUCACACCACUGCAUCCGAUGCUUGGCAUUGCGCUUGGUGAUGUGAGGCUUGCAUGCAGCUGCUCGGCCACUGAGGCCCAUUCCAUGAAGCUUCUGGCGCCCAAUUUUUGUGUUGGGCUUUAUGCCAGAGGAAGUUUGGAUCUGUGCUGUUACUGUGUCAACAGAGUGUUGGUGACUUAUACACUAUGUGCCUCAGCACUGGGUGACUCUUCUCUGUUAUUUUACAUGGUCUGUCACUUCAUUGCUGAGUUUCUGUCGUUCCUACAUGCUUCCACUUUGCAAUAAUACACUUACACUUACAUUUGACUGUGGAAUAUCUAGCAGGGAAGAAAUUUUAUGAACUGACAAGUGGCAUCCUAUGACAGCACCUCCCCUGAAGUCACUGAGCUCUUCAGACUGACCCAUUUUUCACAAAUGUUUGUAAACCUGACUGCAUGACUCGGUGCUUGCUUUUAUAUACUUGUGGCAUUGGGUCUUAAUGAAACACUUGAAUUCAAUAAUUAAAUAGUGUGACACAA